GACUGGACCGGAGAGCAACUAGGGGCAGGAUUGGCUGAGGACUCUCUUAUCCCGCCCACAUUUUACCGCAGAGGCUUCUGUUGCUGUCUAUCAAGUAUAGCCACGCCCCCUGGCUCCGCCAACUUUAACGAUUUAUUUAAAAUUCAGUAUUGAUUUAUUUUAAGAUCGGCCACCUGAUCUCUCAUUUUGACCAUGAAAACUAACGGGAAAAAAAUCCUGAGCUGUAGAACAUCAGUCUAUCACAUUUUAUUUUCUCCAAAAAUGAAUUGGGGUCUAUGGAGAAAAAGCUUUUUGGAGCCAGCCCUAGCGGACGGCGUGAUAUUGGAAGUUUUUGACACUUCUGGGUGGGCUUCAAUUCUGGAGCCAGAUGCUACGUCCAUCUUUAUAUACAGUCUGUGGUUUGGAACUGACACAAGGACCAAGUGAUCAGAUUCUGGCAGUGAUGCAGCUUAUAGUCUGGAUCCAUGGAUUGGUUAAAGAUUUCUGUAUCAUUGCCGGAUAGCAGCACGGCGUCACUGUAACCAUGACAACCAGUGAACACUACAUCAGCUGAUUGUGAUCCUACUACAAAUCCACCUCUGAGGACUUAUCAGGACUUAUCCAUCAGAAAUGAUCUAAGGCUGAUUAAAUUGGAGGAGUUGUACGUUUUCUAGGCAGAACCCUUCACAUGUCAAAGAUUGAGUCUUUGUUGAGUGUUUUCCACUUAUAGUGCCAAAAACACCCAUCUCCUUUAUAAUUAACCCAAUCUAUAACGCAUGUAGCAGUCAAAGUCAAACUGCAGGACAUAUGUGAUGCUUAAAAAUGUUUGUGUGGUCUACAUGCGCUAUAAAAGGUCUGUACCCGUCGUUAAAAUCACAUUUUGCACCUUUAAGUUCAGGUUUAGCCGUGUAUAAUCCAGCAUUUGGUCCAACAGUCCGUGUUAUUCCAGCAGUGUGAACCGCUACUAGCUUUAUUCCUGCAUGUUUUGGUUUGCAUUUUUCCAUGGAAUGAAAAUAACUUGGAACUGGCAGCACAGCGAACGUUAUCUGGCACUUUUUAUUUUGGUAACUGUUUCCAAAGAAACAAGACUAACUUGAUAUUACACAAGUAAGUUCCCUCAGUGAAGAGAACCAGCGCUAGACAAAGACCAGUCAAGGCAAGGACUGUUUUGGAUUUUAUGAAAGGCGCAUUAUUGAAAUCAGCUCCAGCGUUUUCCUUCUAAGUGCCUCUGAGUAUGGCUGCUAAUAAAUCAGGUAAAUGCUCAGAUAACAGCGAGGGAUAACAAACCGAAAGAGGACUAUCACCGCAUCUCCUCCCAUUCCAUCAGCUCUAUUUAUAUCCUCCUGUGGAUCUGUCACCAAGACAAUGAGGACCGUGACGCUCGGCGGUGUCUCUUUACAGAACGACGGUGACUCACGCCGAAGCCCCAAUCCAGAACGGGUCUCUGGGUUCAGGUGGUCCGAGGACUCUUUGGGAUGGCAGACUGCUGGUACGGCUCGUGCAGGCAAACAUCUGGCUGCUCUCAGAGUUUAAACGGUGAUCAAUGCAUCGAUCAGCCCAAUUGAUUUGUUUCAAUUACCUGUUGAGCAAAAAUGCAAAGCCCCGGCUGCUGACGGCUUUUAAAGCACAGAGCUGCAGCAUCGAUCCACAGAAGGCGUCGAUAGUUUGAAUCGAUGCAUGUUUGUUUUUUACCUUCAGCUCAUUAAAUCAGAUGUUUUUCUGAAGCUUCGCUGAGUAAUCGUUGCAUCAGGAUGUUUCUGGCAGCUGCAGUCAGAUAACGGCAGCACAUUCACAUCCAUUAAACGUAAAAAGGAUCCUUUCUCUUAUUUUCAGUUUUUAUUUGACUUCAGCUGCUUUAUUUAAUAUGCAGACUAAACUCUGUCACCUUGUUUGGUUUCUUUUGGAGCUGGAUUUAAAUAAGAAUUCCUCUUUUAUUGACAUUUAUCAUGUUGGAGCUUCCAGUUUAAUGCUACAGUUCUGAACUUUAACAUAAACCUCAGUUUAUAUUCAUACUGUGCUGCAUUAUACAAUAAAUAGAAUAAAAGUCCUUUAUUAUCA